rnacentral:rRNA from 1 species
UCCUACGGGAGGCAGCAGUGGAGAAUCUUGCGCAAUGGGCGAAAGCCUGACGCAGCCACGCCGCGUGCGGGAAGAAGGCCUUCGGGUCGUAAACCGCUUUCAGGAGGGAAGAAGCGAAAGUGACGGUACCUCCAGAAGAAGCCCCGGCCAACUACGUGCCAGCAGCCGCGGUAAUACGGAGGAUCCAAGCGUUAUCCGGAAUUAUUGGGUUUAAAGGGUCCGCAGGCUGUCUGUUAAGUCAGAGGUGAAAGCCUACCGCUCAACGGUAGAACUGCCUUUGAUACUGUUAGACUUGAGUUAUUGUGAAGUAGUUAGAAUGUGUGGUGUAGCGGUGAAAUGCAUAGAUAUCACACAGAAUACCGAUUGCGAAGGCAGAUUACUAACAAUACACUGACGCUGAGGGACGAAAGCGUGGGUAGCGAACAGGAUUAGAUACCCUGGUAGUCCACGCCGUAAACGAUGGAUACUAGCUGUUCGACCAACAUGGGUUGGUUGAGUGGCUAAGCGAAAGUGAUAAGUAUCCCACCUGGGGAGUACGCUCGCAAGAGUGAAACUCAAAGGAAUUGACGGA